CAAUCCUAGGGCUACACUUUCAUCUGGGAUUCUUCCAGCUAGGAAUGAGAGGGUCACACAAGUGGAAAAUCCUGGGCAAGCUGCAAGUGAUGAUGAAAUGCAAUCCUUGCGGAGUGUCUGAUGGUUGAUUAAACAUUUGUGGAAGGCUUGGUUUUUCAGACACAGAACUGUGAUGUUUGGGGACAGCUGGUGUCCUUAGACCAAAGCCAGCCUAUGUUUGUUGCUUCCAUGUAAGCCUAUAGACUGAGCCAGCCUGGAUGGCAGAGAGGCUAAACUUGGAGAGUAGAAGCUUGUUCCUAAUGAGCUGAGAACAGUAGGACUUGUCAAGGCCCAGAUUCGUCCCUGAUGGGAGAGAGGGGCUCACAGGAGGGAAGAAAGCU